rnacentral:rRNA from 1 species
CAGCAGCCGCGGGAAUACGGAGGGGGCUAGCGUUGUUCGGAAUUACUGGGCGUAAAGCGCACGUAGGCUGCUUUGUAAGUUAGAGGUGAAAGCCUGGUGCUCAACACCAGAACUGCCUUUAAGACUGCAGAGCUAGAACGUCGGAGAGGUGAGUGGAAUUCCGAGUGUAGAGGUGAAAUUCGUAGAUAUUCGGAAGAACACCAGUGGCGAAGGCGGCUCACUGGACGACUGUUGACGCUGAGGUGCGAAAGCGUGGGGAGCAAACAGGAUUAGAUACCCCAGUAGUCCCUGUCUCUUAUAC